rnacentral:lncRNA from 1 species
UUCAUUUUUCCAAGCUAACAGCCACUAAAACUCUUCCAAAAUCACAUUCAAGCUCUCUUCUUUUAACCUAAAUCCCAAACUCACUCAACCCCUCUCUCUUCUUUGAACCACCCAACAACCAUGUAAAAUUCCACCAUUUUCAUACAACAACAUCAGUAGCAAACCAACAACCUUCAUCCACAUAACCAUUCACCACCACCAUGUAAACUUAUAACUUCC